GCGGCCAUAGGUUAAUGGUAGACUUAUCGACUUCCAAUCGAAAGGUGUCGAUUCGAAUUCGACUGGCCGUA
rnacentral:tRNA from 1 species